rnacentral:rRNA from 1 species
CCUACGGGAGGCUGCAGUGGGGAAUAUUGGACAAUGGGCGAAAGCCUGAUCCAGCCAUGCCGCGUGUGUGAAGAAGGCCUUCGGGUUGUAAAGCACUUUCAGUGGGGAAGAAAGCCUUGGGGCUAAUACCCUCGAGGAAGGACAUCACCCACAGAAGAAGCACCGGCUAACUCCGUGCCAGCAGCCGCGGUAAUACUGAGGGUGCGAGCGUUAAUCGGAAUUACUGGGCGUAAAGCGCGCGUAGGCGGUCUGAUAAGCCGGUUGUGAAAGCCCCGGGCUCAACCUGGGAACGGCAUCCGGAACUGUCAGGCUAGAGUGCAGGAGAGGAAGGUAGAAUUCCCGGUGUAGCGGUGAAAUGCGUAGAGAUCGGGAGGAAUACCAGUGGCGAAGGCGGUCUUCUGGACUGACACUGACGCUGAGGUGCGAAAGCGUGGGUAGCAAACAGGAUUAGAUACCCGUGUAGUC